AACAAACGCUGGCGGCGUGCCUAACACAUGCAAGUCGGACGUGAAAGGGCUUUCGGGCCUGAGUAAAGUGGCGCACGGGUGAGUAACGCGUGGGUAAUCUGCCUCUAAGUUGGGAAUAACUUACCGAAAGGUGGGCUAAUACCGAAUAAUACUGCAUGACUGCGGUUGUGCAGCCAAAGAUGGCCUCUGCUUGCAUGCUAUCGCUGAGAGAUGAGCCCGCGUACCAUUAGCUAGUUGGUCGGGUAAUGGCCUACCAAGGCUACGAUGGUUAGCGGAUCUGAGAGGAGGAUAAGCCACACUGGAACUGAGACACGGUCCAGACUCCUACGGGAGGCAGCAGUGAGGAAUCUUGCGCAAUGGGGGAAACCCUGACGCAGCAACGCCGCGUGAGUGAGGAAGGCCUUCGGGUUGUAAAGCUCUGUCGGGUGGGAAGAAACGUAUGGAGGUUAAUAGCCUUUAUACUUGACGGUACCACCAAAGGAAGCACCGGCUAACUCCGUGCCAGCAGCCGCAGUAA
rnacentral:rRNA from 1 species